rnacentral:rRNA from 1 species
UACAGAGGUCCCAAGCGUUGUUCGGAUUCACUGGGCGUAAAGGGUGCGUAGGUGGCUUGGUAAGUUUGAGGUGAAAUCUCCGGGCUUAACCCGGAAAUGGCAUUGAAUACUAUUGAGCUGGAGGUUUGGAGGGGGGACUGGAAUUCUCGGUGUAGCAGUGAAAUGCGUAGAUAUCAAGUGGAACACCAGUGGCGAAGGCGAGUCCCUGGACAACUCCUGACACUGAGGCACGAAAGCUAGGGGAGCAAACAGG